UCGCUCCGCCCCUCAGGGCGAGGCCAGCGGUGAUCGUGACAUGGGCCGGGCGGCACCAGCCGGGAGAAGAAAACAAGAGCCGGGAGGGUGAGCUGCGUCCUCGCAGGUGAAGGCGGCCCCGGCGGCGGCACUGCGCGGGAACCUGUGGGCCGGGGCCGCGGCCUCCUGGGGCGCGGUAACGAGCGCUCCCAUGGGCAAGGCGCUCGCCUCGGGCCGGGAUCGCCGCCAGCCUCGGGCAGCGCGGGGCGGCCGAGCGGCGGCUGCGGCGCUYYKCGGUGCGCGGCGGGCCGGGACAUGGCGCGGCGGGCGGGAGGCGCGGUGGCGGAUGAACUGGCCAACGCCGCCGCCCGCGGGGACCUGCAGCGCCUCAGAGAGCUGCUGGACGGCGCGGCGGACCCCAACGCUGUCAACUCCUACGGCAGGACCCCCAUCCAGGUGAUGAUGCUGGGCAGCACGCAGGUGGCCGAGCUGCUGCUGCGGCGCGGAGCUGACCCCAACCGGCCCGACCCGCGCACCGGCUGCCUCCCGGCGCACGACGCGGCCCGCGCCGGCUUUCUGGAGACGCUGGCGGCGCUGCACCGGGCCGGGGCGCGCCUCGACCUGCCCGACGGCCGCGGCCGCCUGCCCCUCGACGUGGCGGCGGGGGGCCCGCACGGAGCGGUGGGGCGGUACCUGCGCGACCCGCCGCCCCGUGCCUAACAUCUCUCCGUGCAAUCCCCUCCCUAAAUUUAUUGCCCGUGUCCGGCUCGGGAGACACCAAGUAGUUUCGCUGCAAAUAACCCCAGGGAUUGUGUUUCCCUGCCGAAACGCAUGAAGGACAAUAUUCUUUGCUCAUGCCUGUAGAUUAUCCUGCGCUAGAAAUCCUAUGGCCUUCCACAAGCCCUUUUUUUCUUACAAGAGUGCAAACACCGGGAAGUAUGAAAUAUGAAGUACUAAGUAUUAAGUCUGAAGCCCCUUGCCAGGACAGGCCCGUGGUGGGGACUACUCACUCCGUGUAAAGAUGAGGAUCACCGGCUUGAACUCCCACUUGGCUGCGGGAGCUUCCACAGGCACCUUUCCUUCUGGCAGCAGCACUGGCUCCAGGACUUGGAGUCCUCCUUGAAAAGAAGAAUACUGACAGCAACAAACAGCAGCAGCAGCACUACAKUUUAUCAAGAAAACCCUAAAAGCAUUAUGUUUAACGUGGCAGAUGACUCGCAUUUUUUAUUUAAUAUUGCCACUGUAACUGAGUACAUGUGCGAGCACACAGACGCCCUUCUGCCGCAGGGUUUGCCCCCGGUGCAAGGCGAGCUGCUCCUCGGCCCCGGAUCGGCCGUGCAUUCCGCAUCAGUGGGUUUCUACUGCUAAA